GAGGUGAGCCUUCUCUUCAUCACUGAAGAAAACGCCGUUGUUGAAGGAAGCAAGGAGGGAAGGCGCAAGGAGUCGCAUGGCCGCAGUUUGCAACUUUUUGUUCUUGUUAAUUUGUUGUUAAAUCUACCCUGAACGAUUUCAGCUAUUUCAACUGAAGCUAAAAUCGUUAACGCGUAAUUCACGGAUAGUAGUUUAUAUACAGUGAACUACCGAAGUUUUGCUUUGUUUGGCCGGAAGAGAACCUGUUAGCCAGCUAGCUAGCUAGCUAACUGCAAAAUUAGCUAACUUAGGCUUAGCCUGUUUUGUGCGAACAUGUCUGGAGGAGGUGUAGUUCGAGGACCCGCAGGGAGCAACGACUGUCGGAUAUACGUCGGGAAUCUCCCGCCUGAUAUCCGCUCAAAGGACAUCGAAGACUUGUUUUAUAAAUAUGGAGCCAUUCGUGAUAUCGAUCUCAAAAACCGAAGAGGAGGACCGCCGUUUGCCUUUGUGCAGUUCGAGGACCCGAGGGAUUCUCAAGAUGCUGUCAGCGGCCGUGAUGGUUAUGACUACGAUGGCUACCGCCUGCGUGUUGAGUUUCCUAGAAGUGGAAGGGGAGGCGGUGGUGGAGGUGGUGGUGGCGGUGGAAUGGGACCCCCAAGGUCAAGGCAUGGUCCCCCCUCCAGACGCUCCGACUACAGGGUUGUUGUGACAGGCCUACCUCCCAGUGGAAGCUGGCAGGACCUGAAGGAUCACAUGCGAGAGGCAGGUGAUGUAUGUUAUGCUGAUGUGUACCGUGAUGGCACCGGAGUGGUGGAGUUUGUACGCAAAGAAGACAUGUCCUACGCUGUCCGUAAAUUAGAUAACACCAAGUUUCGCUCUCAUGAGGGAGAGACUGCCUACAUUUCUGUGAGGACGGAUGGUCCUCGCAGCCCCAGCUACGGUCGUUCCCGCUCUCGUAGUCGCAGCCGAAGCAAGAGCAGGUCUCGCAGCUACUCCCCUCGUCGCAGCAAAGGCUCUCCACGCUACUCUCCCCGGCGUUCCCGCUCCCGUUCUCGCUCUCGCACCUAGAUUCACCCUAAUGAUGUGCCCAGAGCCAGAGAGGAGAUCUUCACACUGCUCAACAAAUCCUAGUUCAGAGGAACAGGAUAGGAUGGGAAGAGAGGAAACAGUUCAUAUUAGGAUAAACAGGAGGAGGAGGAGGAUUCAAAUGUGGCACCAAUG